CCAAUAAAUAAGGUUAACUCCCUAUGAUGGUAAAAGCAGGGAGGGAGAAAAGGGAAUGGCAGAAGGACAAAUGUAGGAGACCGAGAAGGUAGAGACAGAGUAUGAGGAUGGUCACGCCAUGGGGUGAAUUCAUACACCCACCCCCGUAUACCAGUAUAUGGUAUGAAAGUUGUUUUCCUAUAAGGUCCCUUGUGACUAUAGGGGAAUGUUGAUGUAACAGUUGGACGUGAGGGGGCUCAAAGGUCAUUCUGCCUAUGACCUCUAGAAUCAAUGGCAUAUGAUCACACAGUUAAAGCAGACUCCGUUUUGAUGGAUACAUGAUGUCAGAAACAUAAAUCUCCAAAUAUCUGAAAUAACUGGGGAAGCAGUGACAAGACUAUUAUGUAAAUUGGAUGCAAUACAAAUAAAUGGUAUACACUGAAAUAAAUCAUA